rnacentral:piRNA from 1 species
UCUGAAGAAAUAGAGAGGGGCAAGUGCAAG